rnacentral:lncRNA from 1 species
AACUAUCCAUGGACACAAGUUUUUUAUUGGCUUUGGAGGAAAAGGUGCCAACCAGUGUGUCCAAGCUGCCCGACUGGGAGCAAAGGCAGCCAUGGUCUGCAAGAGUUUACAUACCAGACCAGAGAUGCAGCUACAGGAACAGCCUCCAUAAUUGUCAAUAAUGAAGGUAUGUGCCUCACGAAUGAGAGCCACCACCUCCAGCAGACCAUGCGUGCCAGAACUUGAUUGUUUUACCCCUAGUGGCCUCACUGCACCCGCUGCUCCAAAUAAAGACAUUUCCCUUCGAUUAU